ensembl:lncRNA
AUUAAUGUUGCAGUGGUGAAGAGCUGAAGCUCAGAACUGGUGUGGUAGGGUUCCUAAUCCCUGAAGAAAUCUAUGUGAAUGUGCAGAGAGCCUCUGUCAAGCUGAACAGGGAUAACAACAAUGGAUAUGUUAAAGUGGAUGAGAAAAAUCUCAUGAGAUUUCAACCAUACACAAAGAACCAUAUGCAACUGAAGAAAGUGUGACUGGUGCCUACGCUGAACUUCUCAUAUACAGUUUUAUCUAUCGAAAGCCCAGGCUUUCUUGACUCCUACCCAGCAAGCCUUUCCUGUGUAUUUAACUCCAUCUUCUGAGUUUCUGAGGCUUCAACUGUCACAGUGAGCUCAAGUAACUUCUGCCCCUCCAGUCAAAAAUGAGGCAAGACACCAACUCUGGGUGUGUGGAACUCAAAUAUGAGCUUGUGAAAGGCUUAAAUCUGCUUAAGGCAGAUUCAACACAAACUUUGCGUUUUACCCUUAUCUCAUUCAAACAAUACUCCCUCACAAAAAAUAUUUCAUUUUUCCCCCUGUGAAUCCUUAAAAACUGGAGAAAAAGAUGAAGGGGGCUCAGAGUUCAAUCCUGUAACGUUUGGCUUGUGUUCAUGCUGUCUUUUAUUGCUAUACUACUCUG